GCGCAGCAGUCGCGAAACCUCCGCAAUGCUCGAAAGAGCGACGGGGGACGUCCAAGUGCCUACGCUUUGCGUAGGCUUUUCCCAAGCCUAAAAAGACUUGGGGAAUAAGGGCUGGGUAAGACGGGUGCCAGCCGCCGCGGUAAUACCCGCAGCCCGAGUGGUGGCCGCUUUUAUUGGGCCUAAAGCGUCCGUAGCCGGUCUGGUAAAUGCCUGGGUAAAAUCGUCUGGCUCAACCAGACGAAUUCCGGGUAGACUGCCAGACUAGGGGACCGGAGGAAGGAGAGGGUACUCCGGGGGUAGGGGUGGAAAUCAGCAAGGUGAG
rnacentral:rRNA from 1 species